rnacentral:rRNA from 1 species
GCCAGCAGCCGCGGUAACACCGGCGGCCCGAGUGGUGAUCGUGAUUAUUGGGUCUAAAGGGUCCGUAGCCGGUUUGGUCAGUCCUCCGGGAAAUCUGAUAGCUCAACUAUUAGGCUUUCGGGGGAUACUGCCAGACUUGGAACCGGGAGAGGUAAGAGGUACUACAGGGGUAGGAGUGAAAUCUUGUAAUCCCUGUGGGACCACCUGUGGCGAAGGCGUCUUACCAGAACGGGUUCGACGGUGAGGGACGAAAGCUGGGGGCACGAACCGGAUUAGAUACCCGGGUAGUCCCAGCCGUAAACGAUGCUCGCUAGGUGUCAGGCAUGGCGCGACCGUGUCUGGUGCCGCAGGGAAGCCGUGAAGCGAGCCACCUGGGAAGUACGGCCGCAAGGCUGAAACUUAAAGGAAUUGGCGGGGGAGCACAACAACGGGUGGAGCCUGCGGUUUAAUUGGACUCAACGCCGGACAACUCACCGGGGGCGACAGCAAUAUGUAGGCCAAGCUGAAGACUUUGCCUGAAUCGCUGAGAGGAGAGGUGCAUGG